GAUGAACGCUGGCGGCGUGCCUAAUACAUGCAAGUCGAGCGAAGAAUAUAGCAAUAUGUUCCUAGCGGCGAACGGGUGAGUAACGCGCUGGUGACCUGCCCCAAAGUGUGGGAUAACAGUCCGAAAGGACUGCUAAUACCGCAUGUGAUCCCUGGGAUCAGACGCCCGGUGAUUAAAGGAGUAAUUCGCUUUGGGAGGGACCUGCGUCCCAUCAGCUAGUUGGUAGGGUAACGGCCUACCAAGGCUAUGACGGGUAGGGGACCUUAGAGGGUGGACCCCCACAAUGGAACUGAAACACGGUCCAUACACCUACGGGUGGCAGCAGUAGGGAAUAUUGCAUAAUGGGCGAAAGCCUGAUGCAGCAACGCCGCGUGUGCGAUGACGGCCUUCGGGUUGUAAAGCACUUUUGGAAGGGAUGAGGAAGGACAGUACCUUCUGAAUAAGCCUCGGCUAACUACGUGCCAGCCGCCGCAGUAACAC
rnacentral:rRNA from 1 species